GCGCGGCUCCGGGCGUUCGAUUCCCACGCCGUACGUCACCCACCUUUGGCGUGCGCCACUCAUGGAUGGCGGCUGCUGAGGCUCGCCCGCUCGAUGUGCUCCCUUCAUCCAGCGGCGGCGGUUUAAACCAACUGCCGCCUCUGUCGCCAGCACCUUCUUCCCAGCAACCGUAUCUACUAUCUAGAGCCUCAAGGGCAGCAGCUGGAUGUGCAGCUGGCCAAGCCAGGCCUGGCCGUCGAUGGUUUUGGCUCUAGAGGUGCUGCUGUUGUGCUGUCCGCGGUCUGCCCUUGAUGUCGUGUGAUGGUGACAAGUUCAUCUCGGCAACAGUGAACUCUUCUACGCAUCCAUGGUAUAGGACCAAGUGUUGCUGCAUGGAUGCUAAUACCCUUGUUUUGUACGACGCUCAAAGGGGG